rnacentral:rRNA from 1 species
GAUGAACGCUGGCGGCGUGCCUAAUACAUGCAAGUCGAGCGAACGGACGAGAAUCUUGCUUCUCUGAUGUUAGCGGCGGACGGGUGAGUAACACGUGGAUAACCUACCUAUAAGACUGGGAUAACUUCGGGAAACCGGAGCUAAUACCGGAUAAUAUUUUGAACCGCAUGGUUCAACAGUGAAAGACGGUCUUGCUGUCACUUAUAGAUGGAUCCGCGCUGCAUUAGCUAGUUGGUAAGGUAACGGCUUACCAAGGCAACGAUGCAUAGCCGACCUGAGAGGGUGAUCGGCCACACUGGAACUGAGACACGGUCCAGACUCCUACGGGAGGCAGCAGUAGGGAAUCUUCCGCAAUGGGCGAAAGCCUGACGGAGCAACGCCGCGUGAGUGAUGAAGGUCUUCGGAUCGUAAAACUCUGUUAUUAGGGAAGAACAUAUGUGUAAGUAACUGUGCACAUCUUGACGGUACCUAAUCAGAAAGCCACGGCUAACUACGUG